rnacentral:tRNA from 1 species
GCACCGCUAGCUCAAUUGGAUAGAGCGGUCGGCUACGGACCGACAGGUUCGGGAUUCAAGUUCUCGGCGGUGCACCA